ensembl:lncRNA
CAUUGAUGACCAGUCAGGGGGAGAAGAAAAAUCUGUUGGAAAAUUGAAACCAAUUUAUCUAGCUAGCUAAGUUACCCACCGAAGUUGUCAAAUGGAUACCCUACCUCUGCCUGUGGUGUUGGAAGAGGCUGCAUUGGGAAGAGGAUGCAUCAACACCCUGGAAAGAUGUUUGUGGUGCACUCACUCAUAACACUUUUUUGAGUGAUAAAUGAAUGUAUUGUCUUCAAGCGUGAUAAGAAGCAAUCAGUUACAAGGCAUAAAGACAGAUUGAGGCCUUCAAUCAAACUGAGGACAGAGAAAUGUGCACCAGGUCAAGGCUUCAUGCAUGAAUGGCUUUGAGAUGUAAGUUAACAAGAAUUAAUUUAGAGAAAUAAUAGGAAUUUCCAUAUUCGGCAUAACUCAAUAUUAUGUAGCUUUUUGUUCACCCAAGCUUUAUACACCUGAGUCAGGAAGAAGAAACAACUAGUAGAACUUUCUCUUAAUUAUGAAGUCCCCAAUCUAGAUUGAAGAUCAUAGUUAAUUUGUUUUAAUAAUCUGUGUUGAGGCUUGGCUGGAGAAAAAUCUUGUAUACUGUGGCUCUCUAGAAACAGUUGACCAUACAUUUAAAGGUAGAUUUAGUAUACCUUGGUUCCAGUUUAUGCAAGCUACAUUGUUUGUUUAUAAAGCAUUUAUACAAGGCAGAAACAUUGUUUCCUUGUUGGAAAAAAUCUAGAAUGUCAGUUUCAGUUUGAAACAUAGCAACACCAAGGUAACUUUGCAACAGCUGACACUGUUUUUACAAAUCCAAACCCACCCAUUAGCCAUUGUGUCUACCUUUUAAUAUGCCAGCAUAGAAAAUAUUUUCAGUAAUUGUUUUCAGUAUCCUAAUGUUUUGGUUUUGUGUUUUCUUAAUGUUUCAGUGUGUGUAUUUAAGAAGCUUUGGAUGAAGGACUUCCACACAGCUGCCAUCUCCAAAGUUCACUCAAAAAGGCAAUAGUUCUGAACUGGGUGUGCUUUUGCUUUUGUCG